rnacentral:rRNA from 1 species
UACGUAGGGGGCAAGCGUUAUCCGGAAUUAUUGGGCGUAAAGAGUACGUAGGUGGCAACCUAAGCGCAGGGUCUAAGGCAAUGGCUCAACCAUUGUUCGCCCUGCGAACUGGGAUGCUUGAGCGCAGGAGAGGAAAGCGGAAUUCCUAGUGUAGCGGUGAAAUGCGUAGAUAUUAGGAGGAACACCAGUGGCGAAGGCGGCUUUCUGGACUGUAACUGACACUGAGGUACGAAAGCGUGGGGAGCAAACAGG